rnacentral:rRNA from 1 species
GACGAACGCUGGCGGCGUGCCUAAUACAUGCAAGUAGAACGCUGAAGGAGGAGCUUGCUUCUCUGGAUGAGUUGCGAACGGGUGAGUAACGCGUAGGUAACCUGCCUGGUAGCGGGGGAUAACUAUUGGAAACGAUAGCUAAUACCGCAUAAGAGUAGAUGUCGCAUGACAUUUGCUUAAAAGGUGCAAUUGCAUCACUACCAGAUGGACCUGCGUUGUAUUAGCUAGUUGGUGAGGUAACGGCUCACCAAGGCAACGAUACAUAGCCGACCUGAGAGGGGGAUCGGCCACACUGGGACUGAGACACGGCCCAGACGCCUACGGGAGGCAGCAGUAGGGAAUCUUCGGCAAUGGACGGAAGUCUGACCGAGCAACGCCGCGUGAGUGAAGAAGGUUUUCGGAUCGUAAAGCUCUGUUGUAAGAGAAGAACGAGUGUGAGAGUGGAAAGUUCACACUGUGACGGUAUCUUACCAGAAAGGGACGGCUAACUACGUG